AGCUCCAAAAGCGUAUAUUAAAGUUGUUGCGGUUAAAAAGCUCGUAGUUGGACUUCUGCUUGGGUGGGCUGGUCUACCCACUGGGUAAGUAUCUGGCAGUGCUUGAGCAUUUGAUGCAAAUAUACUAUUGCACUUGACUGUGUGGUAUGAUAUUUAUCACUCUUACUUUGAGAAAAUCAGAGUGUUCCACGCAGGCACUUGCCUUGAAUAUGUGAGCAUGGAAUAAUUGUUUAGGACUUUGGUUUUUGUUGGUUUUGAAAACUUAGGUAAUGGUAAAUAGGGAUAGUUGGGGGCACUUGUAUUUAAUUGUCAG
rnacentral:rRNA from 1 species